GCCACUAUUAACUAGGGUGGCCAGGAAAUGUCCCAGUGAGAUAUGCAAGACCUUAGGGAAGCUAGAGUCCCAGCUAGUGAGUCGUAGAUGCUCAGCCUCCAAACCAUGCCUUGCGUACUUGGCUUUGCCAUUCUGCAAACCAAAUGUCUGCUUUGUUGGCUGGCUUCUUGUGCAGCUCCAUGAACACAGGGUGUCACAGGGGAGUGGAAGCUGGAGGAAGGAAAGGGGCUCGCUCCUGUGAGCUUUCUGUCUGCUGUGGUUCCUAUAUACGUCAUUCCUGGAAUGCUUCUUUACCCCUCAGAGGCAGUGCUUUUCCGGAGCAGCAGCUGAGUCCAGGGACUUCUGCUUGCUGCUGCCAAGUGAAAAAUCAUGUAUUUACUUCCCGUUCCGCCGUGAUUGUAAGUUUCCUGAGGCCUCCCCAGCCCUGCAGAACUGUG
rnacentral:lncRNA from 10 species